rnacentral:rRNA from 1 species
UCCAGACUCCUACGGGAGGCAGCAGUGGGGAAUAUUGCACAAUGGGGGAAACCCUGAUGCAGCGACGCCGCGUGGGUGACGAAGUAUUUCGGUAUGUAAAGCCCUAUCAGCAGGGAAGAAGAUGACAGUACCUGACUAAGAAGCCCCGGCUAACUACGUGCCAGCAGCCGCGGUAAUACGUAGGGGGCAAGCGUUAUCCGGAUUUACUGGGUGUAAAGGGAGCGUAGACGGUGAUGCAAGUCAGAAGUGAAAGCCCGGGGCUCAACUCCGGGACUGCUUUUGAAACUGUGUGACUGGAGUGCAGGAGAGGUAAGCGGAAUUCCUGGUGUAGCGGUGAAAUGCGUAGAUAUCAGGAGGAACACCAGUGGCGAAGGCGGCUUACUGGACUGUAACUGACGUUGAGGCUCGAAAGCGUGGGGAGCAAACAGGAUUAGAUACCCGAGUA